GAAAAUCUGAAACUUUGCAUGCACAAUACAUUAAUACAAAGGAUGUGAGGGUGACAAUUGGGACUUGGAAUGUUGUUGGAAAACUUCCAAAUGAAGAUCUUGAGAUUGAUGACUGGCUUUGUACAGAAGAGCCAGCAGAUAUUUAAAUUAUUGGGAUUCUUCAAAGGACUGGCGGACGUAUACAAUGCAUUCAAAAUUCCAAAUUCAUGAUGGGCGCACUUUGAGAAAUUCUUAUGUCAUGCCUUCUCACCUUCCAGCUGGAGGAGUUAUUGGAUCAAUCUUGGUGGUCCUUUGCUUGUUUUGGGUUGGUCUGGUAGAAGAAGAAGAACUACCCAUGAAAUAAAUGGUUGGAAAGCCAA